AUUUAUAUAGUUUAAAAAAAACAUUACAUUUUCAUUGUAAAAAUAAAAAAAA
rnacentral:tRNA from 1 species